GACGAACGCUGGCGGCGUGCUUAACACAUGCAAGUCGAACGGACAGGCCCGGAUUUUGUUGCUUGCUCGAUUGGCGAACACGUGUGUGUCACGCGAGUAACCUCCACUUAUCUUUGUGAUAACUCCACGAAACUCGGGCUCAUACCCGAUAGAAUAUCCUGCAGCGUGUUGUUCAUUGGUGAGUGUCGGCGGUGGUGGAUCGUCUCGCGGCGUAUCAGCUAGUUGGUCUGGUAGCGGCUUACCCAGGCUAUGAUGGGUACCCGACCUGAGAGGGUGGUCGGCCACACUGGAACUGAGACACGGUCCAGGCGCCUACGGGAGGCAGCAGUAGGGAAUCUUCCGCAAUGGGCGAAAGCCUGACGGAGCAAGGCCGCGUGAGUGAUGAAGGUCUUCGGAUCGUAAAACUCUGUUAUUAGGGAAGAACAAAUGUGUAAGUAACUAUGCACGUCUUGACGGUACCUAAUCAGAAAGCCACGGCUAACUACGUG
rnacentral:rRNA from 1 species